AAGUCGUAACAAGGUUUCCGUAGGUGAACCUGCGGAAGGAUCAUUAAAGAGUUAGGGUCCUAGUGGCCCAACCUCCAACCCUCUGUUGUUAAACUGCCUUGUUGCUUUGGCGGGACCCGUUCGGUUCCGCGCCGACGUAACCCUCGGGUUGGCCGAGCGCCCGCCAGAGUCCAACCAAACUCUUGUAUUAAACCAGUCGUCUGAGUAUAAAAUUUUAAUUAAAAUUAAAA
rnacentral:misc_RNA from 1 species